ACUCCUGGACUCAAAGGAUCUGCCUGCCUUGGCCUCCCAAAGUGCUAGGAUUACAGGCCUAAGCCACCGCACCUCGCUGGCUGUUUUAAUCUGGAAUAGCUUCCCUGCUUUUUGUUUCUCUUUAGGACACUGACUUGUGACCAUGUGUGGCCAUCUAUCUGUGUUAUACCCCAUGUUCUAGGUGUAACAUGGAGCCCACACAGAUUAACACUCCCUGCCCUUCAUGCCCCAGUGGGUGGAGUCGUGGUCUCUGCUGUCCAUGAGGCAGAGGUGGUUGAGGUGACAUGCAGCCAAUUAUGGCUUGCCCCCAACCCCCUGGGCCCAGCUGCUGGGGAGAGACCCCUGCUGACCACCUUUCCAGGGUCCAGCUCAGGCCGUGCCCCUCCACCUGCAACCAUGAUGCCAUGGUGGCUUCUUUUGUGGUGGCCUCUUUCGAGGGGGUGCAGGGAGGCUGCAGAGCUGAGGCCUCAAGAUGGACAGGGCUGUGGGCCAGAGGCCUGGUGAGGAAGCCAGUUUACAAACCCCAGUCAGAGCGGGCUGAGCCAGGGGCCGGCAGAGACUGAGAGACCAAGGACCAGGGUAGUGAUUGGGGGAGGGAGGCGCCCUGGCCUCAGGCAGGGGUGGGGGCGGCUGGGGAGGAGGGGAGCAGGUGGAGGGGUGAGCCCUCACCCCCUGCCAUUCCCAGCCUGGGGCCUGCUGCCAGCUCUACCAAAAGGGUUUUCUCCAGGCCCAAACUAUAGGUCCUCCUGCAGGAAACUCUGAGGAUGCACACCCCUCCAGCAUGACUCCAGCCCCUCUUGAACAUGCCUCGCCCCCACAAGGCAUUGAUUUGAGGUGCUCUAGGGAGGAGGGCAAGCUGGAGACCCGAGGGAGCCCACAGUGGACCCAAACUCCGGGGGUGGGAGAGGGUACCAGUGGGAGGUGUUGCCAGGCAGGGUCAGGGUCAGGUCACAUCCUCCAGACUCCAAGCAGCAGAGGCACAGCAUCACCCUUGAACCUGAAUUCAAGGGCUCUGCAGCAGCACUAAGCCCAGGUUUUUCAGUGUCCACACUCAGGGUUAUCUCCCAGCAGGAGCAGGGGAAAAUGCCAUGGGUCAUUGCUCUGCCAGGGCCUCCCUGCACAGAUUCCUAGGUCAAAACAAAGCAUAAACAAUCAACGCCAACAGAAAAAUCUUCCGAAGAACAAUUACAAGAAGUAACUCAGGAAAUUUUCCCAAGAGGCAAUCCAGAAGAGUUUGAGUUUCGAUCAGCUUGUAGGACUGAGACAGGAGCAGAACAUUGCUGGAAGAAAUUCACAAUACAGACCAGGAUGAAGUUAUUUCCCCAAAAGAGAGGUUCGAGGCAAGUGGUCAGCUCCCCGUUGAAAAUCAUUGUAGCAGACAAAUACCGGGAAUGUAAUAAAUUGGAGAAAAGUUUGUCUCUGGGCACAAAGCCUGUUGUACCUCUGAGGGACAGGCCAGGAAAGAGAGCCAGUGGAUGGAGGAUGGGUGGCUGAGGCUUUCCAUGUGAGUCAUAUCUGAGUGGACAUCGGGCAGUUACCAGUGGGACAAAGCCCCAUGGAUGCCAUGUGUAUGGGAAGUCUUUCAGCAAGAACUCACACCUUACUUGGCAUCAGAUAAUUCAUACUACAGAGAAGCCCUGUGUAUGUAUUGAAUGUGGGGAAAAAAACACAACUCAAGCCUUAUACAUCAUCAGAAAAUUCACCAUGGAUGGUGAAACCCUAUCUCUACUAAAAACACAAAAAUUAUCUGGGUGUGGUGGUGUAUGCUGGUAAUCCUGGCUACUCAGGAGGCUGAGGCAGAAGAAUUGCUUGAACCAGGGAGGCGGAGGUUGCAUUGAGCUGAGAUUGCGGCACUGCACUCCAGCCUGGGCGACAGAGUGAGACUCCAUCUCAAAAGAAAAGAAAAGAAAAGAAAAUUCAUGGUGGAGAAAAACCCUGUGUGUGUAGUGAAUGUGGUAAGGGCUUUAGGGAGACAUCAAAGCUUGUUAAACAUCAGAGAAUUCAUACUGGAGAAAAGCCCUAUAGGUGGGAUGAAUGUGACAAAGCCUUUAGUGGGAAUUCAAACCUUAUUAAACACCAACUGAUACAUACUGGAGAGAAGCCCUAUAAAUGUAUUGAGUGCGGGAAAGCCUUUAAUCCGAAAGCAAAUCCCAUGCAAUAUCAGAGAAUUCAUACAGGAGAGAAACUUUUUGAAUGUCAAGAGUGUGGAAAAAGCUUCAGUCAGCCAUCACACGUGAUUCAUAAUCAAAGGAAGCAUGCUUGAGAGAAGCCCUACAAAUGCAGUGAGUGUGGAAGGGGCUUCAAACAUCACACCUGAUUGAUCAUCAAAGAAUACACACUGGAGAGAAAACUUAUGUGUGUGUCAUGUGGGAGAGGCUUUAUUCAGAUGUCACACUUGAUUCAUUGCCACAGAACACAUUCUGUAGAGAAGCCACAUGCAUGUAGUGUAUGUGGGAAAUGCUUCAGCCAGAGCUCAACCCUUAUUAGACAUUAGGUUGUUCACAUUAUGGAUAGGAAGUAUAAGUUAAAGGAAUGUGGGCAGGCUUUCAGUGUGAGCUAGCUUCUCAGUCACUAUCUCACAAAUUCUACUGGAGAGGAACCCCUCAAUUCAUACAGGAGAGAAGAGCAUCCAAGAAUGCAACAAAGGUGGGAAGACUUUCAUUGUAGCUCAUUAUAUAAUGUCAGAGAGUUCCUGUUGGAGAGAACCCCUAUGGAUGUAAUGAAUGUUGAAAAAGCAUUUAUUUGGAACUCACAUAUUAUUUACAAUGAGAUAAUUCAUAGAGGAUAUAAUGGAUAUGAGAGGCUUUGGUGUACUGUGGGAAGUAGGUGGAAAUGUGGGUUCCUGCUAUUGCCAGCUGCUCCCUUUUGAAUAAACUGCCCUAGCAGGUGCUUGCCCCAGGGUGGCCAUGCUCUGUAGGGAAUCUUGCUUUAGACUGGGAUUGUAAGAUGGAGACAAAGACAGCCUUAUUCCUGGCUGGGAAUGCCACUGGAAAUGCUAGGGGAGGCCAGUGGUCCAUGGCGUGGCCUGAUCUCAAAUAUGCAGAAACCAGAAGCAGAGACCAGACCCAGAGAGAGGCAGAUAAAUGCAACCCCCAAAGUGGAUGCACAGGAAAAUGGAAAACUACUAGAGUUAGUGUUGGGUCUCCAGAGCUGCCUUUUUAUCCUGAACAAUGAUGAGCAAUGACUCCAGGUCUUCGUGAAACCAAACAGAAUAGCUGAGGCAGCUUCCUACACCUCUGCACUAAGUUUUUUAAAUCUGAAAGCAUGUAGAAUGAGUGUCAGCCGCACCAACAUGUAGGAUCUGUCUUUUAAUCAGAAGGCAAUCCGUUGUGGCUACUGGCUAUACUGAAAACAUAACAUUAUUUUAACAUAAUCCUUCAGCAGCUUAGGAUAAAAUCCUUGACUUUAGAAUGAAGUUUUCACUAUGAAAUGAAAUCAAGGCUGGGCACAGUGGCUUAUGCUUGUAAUCCCAGCACUCUGAGAGACCAAGAUGGAUCACUCGAGGCCAGGACUUUUGAGACCAGCCUGGCAACAUGGUGAGACCCCAUCUCUACAAAUAAAUAAAAUUAGCUAGGCAUGGUGGGAGGAUCAUUUGAACCCAGGAGGUUGAGGCUGGAGUGAGCCAUGAUUUCACUACUGUACUCUGUCCUGGGCAACAGAGCGAGCCUCUGUCCUAAAAAUAUGUGUGUUAAAGAUUACUUAUAUCUAGUUCAUACCUCCUAAAGGUAAUUUGAAUUGAAAUAGUGAUGCAUACAAUAAGGUCAUUAAAGUAGAAACAGAAAAUAAAGGAUUAUAAAGCCAUUGAUGGUAA
rnacentral:lncRNA from 1 species